UGUCUUUGUCAGCUGGUCGGAUUGAAGUGGAGGAACAUCAGAUUUUUGAAAGUCCCAAAACGUAUAUUAUUAACUCUGUAUAACAUUUCAUUUUAUAGCUGAAAAGCUCCUGAUCAAAUGUUGUAGAACUGACUUCAUGUUAUAAAAGGUAAUACUGGACAAGCUGGACAUAUUUCAGAUUCCGAGGCUCCUGAUACGUGUCAACACCCUCGUCAUAAGCUCACUUGUAGGCCUCACUGAACAGUUCCUCCGUUCUACAAUUCGCCACGGACCUGACCAAAGUGGUGGAGCUGCUGAGUGCUGCAGUGUCUUGCUGCCCCCUGCAGGUGAGAGACGUCGCCACAGGCCCCGAUGUGAGGCCACUCCAAGGGACAUUCCAGAUGUGUUGUGACUCGUGCACGUUUAAGGCUGGAAAGAAUUUGGGCAACAUCAGAGUAGAUGACUGCCAAGUUCAUUUUAAAGAGAGUUGUACGUUAGUGUCUUGCGUUGCUGACGAUGAAACUUCAAGAUUGAUCUGGAUUUGGGUAAAAGCUGAGGUUCAGAGGCGGGUUUAGACGGUGGGGCCUUUUGCAGGGUGAAACACGGGGCCCCAACACCUGAAUGCAAUUCCUCAGAUUGCUGAUGAUAUAAGCAGAGCAUUUUCAUGCCAGAGGAAACGUGAUCCCACCAGCUGGCCCAGCUCUACGUCAGGUAGUGCUGUGGGGCGACAGGGCAGCACUGGAUGGGGGACACUGAAGGUGGCCUAAGUUGGCCUCCCCCCCUCAGCUCCAUCCCCAUCCUGCCCGAGAGGCUGGGGUAGCCGGCGUCCCAUAACGUCUGUUAUGAUGAUGCAGCUGGCAGGGACAUAGGAGAGAAAUGCCAGAAGGUGCCACUGUGGCAGUGAGGUGGAGAGAUCAAGAGGCUGAGAAGGAGACCUCACACUUCUGUGGACUUCAACACUGUGGUCUUUAAAGGGACGCUUUAUAUCGAUGCAGCAUAUCCCUUUAAUACCUAUUAGAAUACUAGUGUUUCGCUUUAAAACCUCAGUUAUUUGUAUACUAUAUGCCCAUAAGAAUGCAUGUUAGCGUGUCCCUUUAAAACCUCAGUAUUUUAUAUACUAUAUACCCAUAAGAAUGCAUGUUAGUGUAACCCUUGAGUACCUCAAUAAGGUGAAUAGAUUUUUAAUAAUACCGCCCUGAAUUCUAAAUUGAUGGUGAUUAAGCUUAACUCUGAACCACAGUGGUGGCAAUAACUUGGAGUGCAAACAAUAUCCAAACAAACACAACCUUUAGGCUGAAAUUGUGACAACUUAGAAACACAUUUAGAAACACAUUCAUAACAAAUAAUAAUGGAUUCAUAAAGCAUUAUAAACAUGGCUAUAAAUAUUUAUCAAAAGGCAUAACACAUAGCCCUGGUUAUUAUGCAUUAUGAAUGCUCUAUGAAGCACUCAACUAUAAUGCACUAUAGAUAUAUUCAUAAGAAGUAUAGUUGUUGGUAUAUGCAUUGGGGAUGCUUUGUACUGCAUUAUAAAGGUAUCUAUAUUGCAUUAUAGAUGAGAGCUUCAUAAAGCAUUAUAAUGUUUAAUACACAUGGCUAUAAUGUGUUAUGCCUUUUUAUAAAUAUUUAUAGUCAUGUGUUUAAAGCUUUAAGAAUGCAUUACAAUGCAUGAUGAAUGUGUUUAUAAAUUACCAUAUAAGUUACCAAAAGAACAAUUAAUUUUCUUUUCUUUGUGAACAGACCUUCAGCCUGUUGUAGGACUGCAAUAGAUAAAUAUUACAGAACCAUAAAUAUGGAAAAUGCUGUAAAAAUACCAGAAGUACAGUGACCAGGUGCAAACUUGGCUGUCACCAGCCUUACCCAGAACAUAUUUUGGUUUACAUGCCUUUUUGUUGGUUUUAUAAUUAAAACAAAGUACAUCUUGCAGCAUUUUCGUGAGCACAGGAUGAAUGAAUCUUUGAUAAGCUAUCAUAUAAAAGAAAAGAUAAUUCCACGUUUAUAGAGCCGAUUUGAGCCAAAUGAUGUCUUAUUUGUAAAUGUAGUUUAGCAAUCUUCAAUGACUGGGGUUUAUACUCACUGUCAUUGCACGUGGCACGUUGCUCUGUUGCCUGCCCGCCCAUCCCAAACUACGUGUUUUGUGUCAACAAGAUGGAUCCGCUGACAUUUCCUUUGAAUUAAGCCUAUGACAAGUGUGUCUCUUCUUCUGUGGAGCCGGUUUCACUUAUGCAAGCCAUGUGCUGUGAGCAGGGGAAUCGAAACAUCAUAAGAAAGCAAACAAUCCCAAACAUCAGCCCCCAUAAUGGGAUUUUCUGAGGUUCUCUGUUUACCCCGCUUUGUGUAAUACAUCAUUACUUAAUGCUCUGCACAUAUAUACUGUGGUUUUCUUUUGCCGGUUUCUUAGUCGGCUUUAAUCAGAUUUGUACGGCCUUUGAAAAGAAUGGCAAAUUAUCAAAAAGCUAAGUACAGUGCAGUGGACGGGUGUUUUAUUCUGUCUGCAGAUUUAUGGAGUAAACAAUCUCUACAGCGGUCCUGCUAUGACAUGCAGGGAAUAAGCGAAGUCACAUGGUCGGCCUUUGCCCUUUUUCUCUCUUCAACAGCCUGAACUCCAAGCCAUGAAUAUUUUUUAGUAUGGGAGAGCAGGAAAAAUUGCUACAUGGAUUGUCUAGAUUUGCCAAGGGAGCUGCUGCCUCACGCUUCCAGGGGUGUCAGUUCUAAUGCACCUCCCUCUCUUUCUCUCCGCAGACUUUGGAUAUCCUCCCUUUCUCUCUGGCAUUCCUCCAGAAACUUUGAUUCCCUCCCACAAUCUGAAGAGAUUCGGUUCAGGCAAACUAAUGACUUGAUUUAACCCAUGUUUCUGAUAGUGAGUAUGUAUGUUUGUUUGUCUGUCUGUCUGUCUGUGUUUGUGUGUGUGUGUGUGUGUGAGGGAGAGAGAGAGAGAGAGAGAGAGAGGUGUCCUACCCAGGAUUCACUCCAGCUCCCCACAGGCUCCAAAUAACAACUUUAACCGAACAAGCAUUUCAAAACAAGGAGAGACAGACUGACACUUAUCCCACCAAUACUUUAAAAACAAGGAAACUGAACACCUGUACUUCUUAUGUCUCAGCCUGCGAACUGAAACUGUAUCUUGCAAAGAAAUGCUUACUUGAGGGGAACAGUACUAUCCGAGCUAUCAGCGACCAUUAUCCGUUUCCAAGUACUUUUCUCAAGGGUCCAACAGCAGAAACAUUCUUAUGGAUCAACUCAGCGAACUAUGGAUUCCAAGAUUACAAAUCUGCAUCCUUACAUAUAAAUGUUCUGAUCCGAUAUUUUGUGCUAGUAUUAAGUAUGACUGUACAAAAUAAUUAUCCGAAACACAGCCUGAAAGUGUGCGUACAAAAAUGGGGGGGCGCAGAGAGAGGUACAUAGGGUUGGGGAGAGGGCCAGUCGCACUCGACUGCGCCGCGGUCGGAGCAGCCCGAGUAUCUGUUUCACAUUAAAUUCACGAUGUGCCCGAAGGCACUGCUACGUGAACAUAUAACUUACCCAUGUAAUUGUGCCAAAUGAAUCCUAGAAGAUGCAAUGGGAUACCAGAGAUGUGCGUGUCGCGCUCCUUGUGUGUUCCUGUAAAAGAAAGGCUCAUUAAUUACAAUGUGCUGUUGCAACAUUUCACUAAUGCACCAUUAAUUAUGCAGCUUUUAUGUAUCAUAUAAGCUGGUAUUGGCUAACAUAUUGGCCUGUAGAAGUUUGGAUCACAUGUGUAUAAAUUAUGUAGAGUAACUGGAUUCCAUUUACAAAUAUAUAAGAUCUUUUUGCCGUAUUUUAAAUGAUUAUGCUGAAUUAGUCUUUGCGAAAUCCAUAUGUGGUCUCUGGCAGGAUGGCUACAUGAGCAUCGCUUUUGUCCUCAAACAUCUCUUCGGGGGCAGUGCAGUCAUUACUGGUUUACCUUAAUCUUCACCACCGGCUCACUUAAUUGACAUAAUCAGUUAAAUAAAUCAAUGAGAUAUUGAUUAGCCAAACAUGGAAUACUAGUGGUCGAGUUGUCAAAUGCAUGGGUAUAUAGGAUAGUUUCUGCAAAUACCAGGGUGAAUUUCAGAGAGGUUUUGAAGGAACUUUGACAAAUAUAAUGUCAUUGUUUUACAAGAACAUGAAGAUCAUUUAAACACAGUUUUCUUUGGUGGCCUGAGACUUUUGCACAGAACUAUAAAGCAUUCCCAAAGUCGUAAAACAAAGAGAAUUACAUUCUGUUUCAGCGGUCGGAGCAGCUCGAGACAUUCCUAAAAUCUUGAGCUCUCAUUUUCUACAGUACCUAUGAGUAAUUUGUCAUUUAUGUCAAUGAAGUAGGUGACAGGUUUCUAUGAGCCUGCAAGAAGAAUUAUGUCUGUAUUUUCAUUUAGCCUUUUACCCACCCACCUUCAGAUUUUAAGAAUUAUUAAACAAUUUGUGUAUAAAAUUUGUUCACCCGGGGAAUGGGGUGGAAAAAUUACUAUCCAUCCAUUUUCUGUACCUGCCUGUCCUGUACAGGGUCACAGGCGUCCAGAGCCUAUACUGGAGGCUACAGGUGCAAGGCAGGGAACAACCCAGGAUGUGGCGUCAACCCAUCGCAGGGUACACUCACCAUUCACACCUACAGGCAAUUUGGCAGCUCCAAUUCACCUCAGCAUAUUUUUGGACUAUGGGGGUGGAAACUGGAGUACCCGAAGGAAACCCCACGACAUCACAGGAAGAACAUGCAAAGUCCACACACAUGGAAUCAUGGCGGAGGCUCAAACCCGAGUCCCAGAGGUGUGAGGCAAGAGUGCUAACCACCGGUCAUACAAAACGAGUUAAAGUUAGUGAUGUGUUUCAGCUGGAUUAAGCAGAUACUCUUGUGCUCUACUCUUUGGGGAAAGAUUUCUAUUAGAUGGUGCAACAUUACUGGUGGGAAUCGUUAAUAUUCAGGUAGGGUGAAGAGCAGGAGUUUGAAAGACCUACAGCUCACAACUGGACGUGCUCCAAGACAUUACCAGUCUUACCUGUGGUUGGCCAGGACAGCUGUAGCAGGACAUUUAGAAAACUGACUUGUUAGGAAAGAUGGAGUCUUAGGAUGGAACCAAGCUGAAAGUCUCUAAGCUUUUACAUGAGACAACCUAUUCUUCUGUCAGUGUUUGUUGCUGGAAAAUGCAGGGCUGUGAUCUUAAUUCUUCACCCUUGUCAUCAAUGGGUGUGGCUUAAUUAGCCAGCUAAUCUAGUUAAAAUAGUAUCUGUAUACUUCUAGUCAAAUAGUGCAGUUUUGUGGCAGUAGGUUUGAUAGAUUAAUUGAAGCCAGUUAUAUAUCAAAUUCUAUUAAAGGAUUUGAAGGUAUUAAAUAUCCCAAAGAGCAAGAUUAAAGACUUUAGGUCUUUUCUCUUUUUUUCUGUUUCAUAAUUGCAUGCAAUUAUUGUUUUCUUUGGUUUGUUUGAGUCUCCUACGGUCUUCAUGCACUUCGUUACCAGAAAAUCCCAAGUUUUCCUAGAAAGGAUUUUCCUGUACUGCUUUGUCAGUAAACCAACCAAUAAACAUGCGCAUUCGAUCAACAAGGGUUAAAUUAAUUUAGAAUCGAUUUCGACGAUAGUGUGUGUUUCACCUGCGGAACAAUGUACGAUUCACUCUGCGAUGACAUUCAGCACAUGCAGGGCAGAUUGAAUGUCCGUCUGCGUGUGUGAGCAGCCCCAGCGCCGCGGGACUUGCACAUUCCCGCUUAGACCGCCGGACCCUUGUUUCUCCUUCCUGUUACUCAUACAUUUCCCUGAGCGUUUGUCCCUCAGCACACAUCUCUCAGUUUGAAUUACAGAUUUCUCAUGUUAUCUAGCAGGGGAAGCGCAAACCACAAAGUCUGAAAGGUGCCUUGCUCUGACCUGAGGCAUUCCUCUGACUAAAGAGGCUUAAAGGUUACAGGCUGACAAAUGCUCUUAGCUCAAUUCCCCCCCCCCCCCCCCCCAAACCCACAGCAUCCUGAAAGGGCCUCCUGUCCCUUUCCCUAGCGAAUCACUCCCUCAUUUGCGUGUUGUCUUUGCAGUAACACGUCGCUCCAUUUUCUCCAGGCUUUUGCACCUGUUGGGUGUCAGAGCCGAGAUAAUCGAGGGAAGCUCACCUGGAGGCUAUCGGAGCAGAAGGAAUCGGAGGGGGUGGGGGGGGGGUAUGUAAACAUCGUUUGCCUGGUGGAGACGUCUUGACACGUCCCAAGCUGUCAAACGAAAAAUUGUUCACUCCAGCGCUUUGAGAAAAGCCCCGUGGUUGACUGAUUUCUUUCACUGUUCGAUGUCUUGUUGAACUGGAAUUUAAUGAGUUCAUUUUUGCACGAUGAAUUUUUGUACGAUCAACCUAAAAAAGGGAAUAUAGAGAAUUAUUCAGAAAGAAUUUGUCGGCAAUUUACUGUAGCUGGAGAUAUUUUACAUUUGAAAAAGCAGCACAGGGAUCUCGCGCACAAAGGAAUAUGCAUUUCCUAUUGCUAAACAGACAUGAAUAUUUAUUUGCUUAUUGGGUGAUUUAUGCAAAGCAAGACUGUAUUCCAUCCACCCCCAUUUAACACGGUGAAUGCAUUGUAGUGAAGUACCUUUUUUAAAAGAAAAAACCAUGCAGAGACCUGCUUGAACUUUCGUACAAUGUUGCCUGCUGUCCUUGUUGGAUUAUUGAUAAAGGUUUUGCAUUCAUUUUCUCAGCAUUUUCUCAGUUUGGUCAGAAACUGAGAAAUCACAAUCAGAUGGUGCCUAGGGCAAUUGGGGCUUAACGACCCGAUGGUGAAAUCACUCUGCUGACCCUGGGAUGUGAACCAGCGUCCUUCUCUUCAUAGCAUCCUAACCCAAAGAGCCACACGAUGCUGCUUAAAAAGCUCUAAAGUUUUCAGUCAAAAAGCCACGGUUGACUGUUGUUCAGAGUGCGGAAAAUGACUUCGGAGGCGAAUGAAGUGCCGCGCAUGCUGUCACAAUGUGAUAUUGAGUUCAACGUGGGGCAAAUUGAGUGUAAUCAAGUGGAACUUUACACGAGUCUCCUUGCUGUGCCAAUCAAGCUGAAAAAUACGCUCGUGGAGCGACUGUCAACCGGUGUGUGUCCCCCAAGUGCCAUCUCUACCAGAAACGUGUAAUAUUAGCUCGGCUUCAGCGGGAUGAAGAACAAGCAAAUGAUUGAUAACCGAUGAACGGGAUGGAAAUGGCUUUGCACCCAACGCAGAUGCCCAGCAGACUGCAGUGACAAUAGAGCAUUCGCCCCAACACAUACAAAGAAAAGAAAAACACCGAGAAUCAGAGAGAUCAAUCAAUUAAUCAAUUAUAAAUUAUUCCUGUCUCACACAGAACAAGUUUAAAAACAAGCUGUCAUAACAAGCUGUAUGAGGAUUAUAUAGACAAAAACAAAUAUUACCACAGUCAAUAUAAGUAAAAACUGAAAACUCUGUCUGGUUGACUGAGUGUGUAAACAAUUGUAUAUAUGUCUAAAUAACAAUCCCCCUAAAAAAGAGGGAAAAAAAUCAAUUUUACUAGAAGAAAAUAGAAAACAAUUCAGACCCCUGUCAAAUUCUGAGUUUGGAUUUUUCUCAAUGCUUACAGGAGAGUGAGAAACACAGACAUAGAUGGAAUGGUAAUGACAGGCGAUGCAAAUUACUGACUACAGCCUUGAGUAAUGCACAAAUGCACUUGCAAUCUUUCAGUCAUGCUCAGUCACUCUUCAGUUGCCCGGGAGGUCAUCUCGACCUACCCCAAGUCAGAUACGAGGUACUGGAGUGAUUCAGACUUCACACAAAUUUGCUCCUGGAAACUGUCAAUACGAAGCAAAUCUCGUCUUGUCUGCGGAAAACGUGGCACUCACCAGUACACGAUAUGAAAUUUGAUAAUCAUACAAAAUCUGGUGUUAAAAAUGUAAAAAAAUCGAACUAAAUAAUAUGUUGCGAUUGAGAUCCCAUAUUGAUGAAACACUUUAUCAUGUUAGUCAUUAUUAUAACUAUUCAUUUCUUUUUAAAAGAAUAAAUUUUAUGAGAAUGA